UUUACGAUUUUGAGGGUUUUCACCAAUCCUAUUAUUUAACUUAUUUACACAACGUAAUAAGUAUAUUUGCCAACUUCGGUUUAAACCAAUGUUUUGAAACCCGACCCGGACGAUGAACCGGACUAUCUUCUGGGUCACUGGGUCAUCGGGUCAACCGGGUUGGACCACGGGUUAAUUAGUUAAAAUUUAUUUAAUAAAUUUAAU
rnacentral:sRNA from 1 species